UAAAAAUGUCUUCAGGUUCACUAAAUA
rnacentral:piRNA from 1 species